AACUUUCAACAACGGAUCUCUUGGCUCCUGCAUCGAUGAAGAACGCAGCGAAAUGCGAUAAUUAAUGUGAAUUGCAGAAUUCCGUGAAUCAUCGAGUCUUUGAACGCACAUUGCGCCUCAUGGCAUUCCGUGAGGCAUGCCCAUCUCAGCGUUA
rnacentral:rRNA from 2 species